rnacentral:rRNA from 1 species
UGGGGAAUUUUGGACAAUGGGCGAAAGCCUGAUCCAGCAAUGCCGCGUGUGUGAAGAAGGCCUUCGGGUUGUAAAGCACUUUUGUCCGGAAAGAAAUCCUUGGCUCUAAUACAGUCGGGGGAUGACGGUACCGGAAGAAUAAGCACCGGCUAACUACGUGCCAGCAGCCGCGGUAAUACGUAGGGUGCAAGCGUUAAUCGGAAUUACUGGGCGUAAAGCGUGCGCAGGCGGUUUGCUAAGACCGAUGUGAAAUCCCCGGGCUCAACCUGGGAACUGCAUUGGUGACUGGCAGGCUAGAGUAUGGCAGAGGGGGGUAGAAUUCCACGUGUAGCAGUGAAAAUGCGUAGAGAUGUGGAGGAAUACCGAUGGCGAAGGCAGCCCCCUGGGCCAAUACUGACGCUCAUGCACGAAAAGCGUGGGGAGCAAACAGGAUUAGAUACCCUGGUAGUCCACGCCCUAAAACGAUGUCAACUAGUUGUUGGGGAUUCAUUUCCUUAGUAACGUAGCUAACGCGUGAAGUUGACCGCCUGGGGAGUACGGUCGCAAGAUUAAAACUCAAAUGAAUUGACGGGGUCAUAGCUGUUUCCU